rnacentral:rRNA from 1 species
AACGAACGCUGGCGGCAGGCUUAACACAUGCAAGUCGAGCGCCCCGCAAGGGGAGCGGCAGACGGGUGAGUAACGCGUGGGAAUCUACCCAUCUCUACGGAAUAACGCAUGGAAACGUGUGCCAAUACCGUAUACGUCCUUCGGGAGAAAGAUUUAUCGGAGAUGGAUGAGCCCGCGUUGGAUUAGCUAGUUGGUGGGGUAAAGGCCUACCAAGGCGACGAUCCAUAGCUGGUCUGAGAGGAUGAUCAGCCACACUGGGACUGAGACACGGCCAAGACUCCUACGGGAGGCAGCAGUGGGGAAUACUGGACAAUGGGCGCAAGCCUGAUCCAGCCAUGCCGCGUGAGUGAUGAAGGCCCUAGGGUUGUAAAGCUCUUUCACCGGUGAAGAUAAUGACGGUAACCGGAGAAGAAGCCCCGGCUAACUUCGUGCCAGCAGCCGCCGUAAUAC